UUUUACUUUUUGUUCCUUUUUUUUUUUUUUCCCGUUCCCAAGUCACAUCCGGGUUUUGUUUGUGAAGAAAAGGAGGACACUACCCAGCAGGAAAUAACGGCCCUUCACCUCUCCAAGUUUCAAAAAUAUACAGCAUGUUACUUUUCCCCGGUUACACACGGAUUGUGGGAAAUGUGAACGCUUAAGAAAAGGCCCAAGAGGAAAAUGAAACAGAGCUGUAAUCUCAGAAACACCCACCACGUCUGUUGAUGUAUGUCCGUCCAGUCUGUUAAAUGCCUGAAACAUCUUAACACAUUUGGGGAUCAAGGGGGGCAUCGGGAUGUGACUAUUGUGUACAAUUUGCAGGGCCAUUUUCUGACAUUAACAAACUGCAUCCUGCACAGCAGAGUUCUUAUUCUUUCUUCAGGGGAAUGUUCUGUAAUGAUUUGGAGGAUGCACGGAUGAUACUAGAGAAGACAGAAGCAGGAACCAAAGUUCUUACCAGAAAGUGCUUCUCCACUCCCCAUCAACCAAGGUUUGGGUGACUGUUGACACCAAGGGUUAUGAAUUCCUGGCUCCUGCAACUUCCUGGAUGUAGGCAUUGGUUUCUCCUGGAUUCACUCAGCAUUGGUUUCUCCACUAGCUGGAAAGCAGGAUUCAUCUUGCUGCCAUUUUGUAAAGCCAGGAAAAGUGUCGGAUGUGACACGUCUACCUGCAAUAUAAAGUUUCACUCUGACUAUAAACUAUGAUCCUUAAUAGACUAGAAGAAAAAUAACUCACGGAGGUUAGAAACCUUCCCAAGCAGUCAGAUAUUUCUCUCUUUGGAGAUGACCUCCUGCCUACAGAGUCAAAUUCAAGUUAAGAGUGGUGGCCUGAACUGUGGAUUUCAGGUACCUGAACUUAGACACCCCAAGCCACUCCCUAUUUUGUAAGCACAGGUUUUUGUUGGUUCCUAAUUUCUUUCUAGGUUCCACCGGCUUAUCCUCAGUGAAUAUAUUGGAAGGAGAAGAACAAUGAGCUACGUGACACUUAUAAGAUCCUACUGUCCAUAAGUCUUGCUCUUAGCACUGGGAAACAAUGGUGACUACAACAGGUACUGAACUAAGAUCAUGAGCACGUGUUACAUAUAAUAAGCCUGACUUCGGGCCCCACUAAUGUGUAAGAAAAAGCUUGUACAGUGAGUGAGACCAGCGGAUCAGGAUUCAACGGCCUGAGGUAACUGUAUAGCUUUGACCAAGUCACAUAUUCACCUAAAGUUUCAGUGCUUAUCUGCAGAAUGGGGAGAAUAAAGUAUCACCCUCAGUGGUUAUUGUGGGAGAUGUAAUGAGUUAAUGUACACAAAGUACAAUGUAAACUCUCAAUCAGCAUCAUAUUCAUUAUUAUAGUUAUUGCUCUUCCCACAUGAUAUACAGACAUUAGGGGCAAUUUUCUCUGUCUUUCCCCCCUUCCUGACAUGCCACUCUCUGGUGGAUUGGUAGCCCAGGCUAGAAUUCUGGGCAGGUGGUAAGGCCAUACUGUGCCAGAAACAUCUUGGAUAAAAUAGUCCAAACUCUGUCCCAGCCUUCUGGGUGCCCUACAAAGGUAAGUAUGCAGCAAUCUGAGUAAGAGGAAAGAUGGUCUGCCUCUUAAGUAGGCAUGAUAGUUGAGUGAACAUACAUCUAGGUAGAAGAGAAAGGGUGUUUCUAAGAUUCUGCCUUCCUGCAGAAGGCAAUGCUUUGCUAGAAUCACAACACCUUAAAAAAAAAAAACCGACCAAAGCAACCAGCUGUUGAAGGAGUGAGUCUCUGUGUCCCAUAGGCAUAAAAAAUAUGUUAGAUCUGUUUGUGUAGAUUGGCUUUUGUUUAGAACUGAGCGCUUGCUAAAAUUUCAUUUCCUCCUCUAUGAUCCCAUAAAACCUAGUACAUAUCUUUAAUAUUGUACUAAAAACACUAUAUUGCAAUUGGGUUAUGUGAUGUUCAUCUGUCUACUCUAUUGUGCUAUGAGAUCCCUACAUGUUAUUUGUCUUUGUAUUCCAAACGCCUAGCACAAGGUUUGGCACAUAUUAAAUAGUAAUUCUGCUUAUUUUAAAAAUAUAUGGAUGAAAAAAUGACCACGGUAAGAGACACAUUAAAUACCCCAUUAUAUCGUUCCCCUAAGGAGAACAAGAAUAAUAAAAUUAGGCAUAGAGAAUGUCUCAUCCUCUUACGUGGCUCCGCUUUAUUAUACAAUGCUCACCGAUGCACUCUGUUUCCGACAGAGGGCGCACUAGAGCAAACAUUUCCUACGUGACCCAACUCACUUGAAAAACACCUUGUCGGUGAAGGAGUUGCCUAAACUUGAACAAAAUCCUCGUGAUCCCUCAUCUCUCAGGAGAGAUGAACUACCUUUCUUAUCAAAUGCGUAAAGUUCUUGGUCGUGCCAGCUGGACUCACUUCAGAUUUUAUUUUGGCUUAAGCUAACAGGCAGCGACAAUUUUGUUUAUUGGGGAGUUAUCAAUGUAACUCGGUGUCUGACAGAGAAGAAGACCAUCUGCCUCAAUCCUCCCCUUAAAUUCACGAUCACUGUCCAAGCAUGUGUGGCUCUCAGAAGACAGAACAUCAUACUCGAGAUGUGGAAAUUCUAGGAGCUAAUGUGUUCCAAAUCAACUUCAUAUCCUUUUUUUUUUUUUUUUUUUUUACGGGGCCGGGAGUGGGUUGGUGAGAAAGAACAGAAGCACGGAUCUGACACACGCACAGAUGUUCCUGAAAUCACUGUAGCCUCUGUGUGUUUUCAUUCUGGUAUUUACUGUUCUGCUCUAAGGUCUCGGUACAGUAGAAAGAGUCCAGGUAUGGGAAUGGUAGGAAGAAUACAAGGCUGAAUAUCAAGAACCUCGGUCCUAGUCUCAGCUCUGCCGACAACUAAGGUAAGUAAACAUGACCAGGUCUCUGUAUAAUUCUGUAAAAUGAAAAUAGUGGAAUAGACGAUAUCUAUAGUUCCUUCAACACUCAAAUUAUAAGAACUCCAUGCCUUAUUUCACAGAACUCCAAACUAUUUUGAACCUCAAUUUUUAGCCAUAGCCACUAAAGCUAUUACUUGGUGUAACAAUGACAAAUCAAUCUGAAUGACUGUUCUUUGCAGUUCCCUCCAGACUUGCACGUCCUGUUGACUUUGGAUAAAGGAAUUCUUUUCCUUUGCUAUGUGGUAACCUUUUGGCUUAGUUACUGGUUUAAGGAUACAGAAGUACUGUGACAUCCCUAUGGAGGCUGGUUGCAGUGGUCACAUGGCUCCUUCCACAUGGUCCUAAGGAUAAAUUCAGUAAUUUAAAGUAGUCCCAGAAAAUUUAGAUUCCCCUUACAUUGGAAGAUAUCCUUUUCAUGGAUAUAAAAAUACUCAAAUGGUUUGCAAUUAAGAGGUGUAAUUUCCUUCCUGAUAACUUGGCCUGAUCAUCUCAAACUUCUAACUGUCCCCACUUGUUGAAUUCUCCUUCCCUGUCUCUGCUCAGUGGUCACAGGGGUGUUAAAGAUGCACCCUAUUUGGCAUAGAAUAAAGGAAGGAAGUUAACAUUUCUGGAGUACCUCUGAACAUGAAUUUUGCCCUGUGUCCACAGACUCUACACGACAGAGGGGUGAAAAGCCUGAUUUUGGCCCUUUCCCCAUUCUCCUUCCCCUCCAGGUGUUCCAGAGCAUCCUGAGUCCUUAGCAGGACUAAGGACUCUGCUCUGGCUGAAAGAACCCUAAGCUCAUUUCCCCAGAAGAAACCAUCAUGAAGUUAUAUCUGAUUGUGUGACAGCUUCCUAGGCAGAGAGGUGGCCUCUGAGCUCAGCCAAAGAGGAGAGCUGGUGAGAGCAAUGUCGCAGGCUUCAGUCCUACAAGGCCAGUUCACGGUGCUGUUUCCUGACUGUGGUUGACACUCCCAUCUUCAAGUUUUGUGCAAAGGCUCUCAAUGGGAAUCAAAACAUGGAUAAUCAGGCUGGAGUCUGUGCCUGUGCGUAAGACGCUGAAGCCCACCCCUUUGAGUGCUUAGGCACUUGGCCUUUAAUCCUCAUAACACCCAUGUAAAGUACAGUCAUUAUAUCCAUUUUACAGAGAAGGAAACUGAGGCUCAGAGAAUUUAUGUGACUCUCCAAAGGAGCAAGGAAUAAAAUUCAUUUUCCCAGUGCAUCAUGCAAUUUCCCAAAAUUGCCUGCUCUAAUUCAAAAGAUUCCUCUUUUUUGGGGUGCCUGGGUGGCUCAGUCAUUAAGCGUCUGCCUUCGG